UAAAAUUUUAUAUCUAAUGGCAUACCUAUGUAAUUACUUACAAAAAUUAAGGUUAUAUUUAAAAUGUACUUCCCAAAUAAUAUAAUAGGAUUUUAUUUGUGUUUUAGAUUUAAUUUUAUAUUUUAAUUGUUGUUCGUUUAU
rnacentral:sRNA from 1 species